rnacentral:lncRNA from 1 species
AUAUCAUAGAGUAUUCUCCCUCAAACAGUUUGAAGGUUAGAGAUCCCUUGUUGCGCAUUCACUUGCCUCCAUGGUUAAGUGGCUUAACCCCAACGAUGCCAUGGACACCCCGAUGGGGUGACUUUGACAUAAUCAAAGAUUAAGGACUUAACCACAAGACAACUGUGAUGCCUCAGGUCAAAGGACUACUUUGCAUUAUCCCAACCAUGAGUUCUCAUGUGACAUGAGUAUGAGAACUCUUCGUUGAUCGCGUUCAGUGAACUCAUUCUCUACUGAGCACCUAUGUACUUGUCUUGAUGUCACACACACCAAUGACUCGAGACU